GGUGGAAGAAUCGCCCUCCCACUUGGGAAAAUAUCAAAUAACGUUAUUCUCCACUAUUAAACCAUUCCACUCUUUCCAUUCAAUCGAAAAGAUAAAACACCGCCCAAUCCACCUUUUCAUCUCUCUCUGCAAACAAAAAACAAAAACCCACCUGCGUCACUAUUCCGCUUCAUUAUUACUGUACAUCUCGAUUUCAAUUCCUCCCCAUUUCUCUUUCCACUGCAUUCUCCAGGUACGUAUUUCUCCUCGUUUCUCUAGCUGAUUUCUUUCUCAAUCUGCGAAACCCACAUCUUGUUUUCUUUUCUUUUUUGUGCUAACCCAUCAAGAUAUUCACUGUUUGGUCACGCAAAUCGACCCUUCAAUCCCUUGUUCCGAAAAUUUCAUUUUCUUUUUGUUUAUGUGUACAUGGGUUAUACGUGGAUUGUGGUGGGUUGUUUCAGGUGGGUUUCUGGAGUAGGGGUAACUUUGAGAUCUGGAAUUUGGAAAGAGAUGAACUUUCUAUAUUUGAUUUUGGAAUGAAGAAAAAAACUUUUUCCAAUUUGGAAUUCUUGGGUCAUUUGGUACUAGGGUUUUUUUUUUUUCAAUUUGGAAUUCUUGGGUCAUUUGGUACUAGGGUUUUGUUUUGUUUUGUUUCUAUUUGUGAUUAAUUUGGCGAAAUACUUCAUUAUUGGGGAAAUUCUAUUUAUUGUGGUAGUCAUUUAGGGGAGGACAUGGAAAUGAAUAAAGAGAUGAACUUUCUAUUUAACAUGUAUGCAGUUGUCGAAAGAGAUAAUGAUGUUUGAAAAUUCAAUUAAUUUAUGGUCCUUGAUAGAUCCGAAUGACAGAAAAGGAUUCAUGUAGCCCAUAACAAGCGAGUGAGACAACACAAGUUUUGGUUUGGUCAGUAUAGGACCCAGGCAAAAAUGAGGCCCCAAUUUGAGCCACAUUUUUUACGGCCAAUGCCUUGGCCUUGUGGGUUAUGCCUAGGACCGCACUGUAAUUACCCAAAAACAUUAGUUACAUUGAAAGAUCUCCAAGAAGUUAUAGCCCCAUUCAGGGGACAUCCAACUUGUCAAUCUAACUCGUAUCACUUGCCCCGGAAAUUGGUAUUAAUCUUUUCGUUUGUAUCACUUGCCUGAUAUAUGUUAGCUAGUUUAGUUACAUCAGACCAUUUUAGCCAUUAUCUCCGAGUGCUUCCUCAUACAUACAAACAAAGCGAACUUCAGGUAUUGGCUACUCAGCUUCGAGCCGAAAAAUCCUUCACAUUAUAGAAGGCAUCACACGAACAUCAGUAAAAUUAAAUCCCUUACAUUUUGAAAUUUCCGCUGAGGUUAGCAAUGUGCAUGUUAAGUUGAGUCAAAUCAGGCGCGGCAGGCAGCAGUUCCAAGGCUCUUAAUGCCACCGUCCAGGACCUUGCCUUCCCCAUCCACUAAACUGGUCGAGCGCUGUGUUCACAAUAGAACCAGCCAGAUUAUGCUUGAAAAGAUACCAAUCAAACGGAGGAAAUGACAGAGAAGUCUUUUUUUCCUAUCUUUCCACUAAGAAGGGCACAGAAUCAAAGAUUUCGAUGGCUUUUUACUUGGUUGAUGGAGGAAAAAGUAAGGUACUUCGGUUUGUACCCUCCUUUAGGCAUUAAAAAUGGAUUAAACCAAGGUUUGUACGUUGAAUCUUGCUCAAAAAGUUAUUUAACAAAUUCUUUCAUUUAAAUUGUGGUUAUGGAGUACAUAUAAUGAAUUUCUCUAAAAAUACAACCUUCAAAUGUACCCAAGCCGUAAGCGUAACGGACUUUUACCCGAUUUGUCACAUUGGCAUACCUGUACACGUGCUUCAUAGAUUUUCCAGUACCAUCGCAUUUUUUUUUAUAAUCAGUUCUAGGUUUUGCUUGCUAGCUCUUGAUAUCUUUAAAACAGUGUUUAAAAGGUUCUAGGCACACUGAGGCGCCACGACCCCCUAGAUCCUAGGCAUGAGGCGCGUGUGUACUGUGCCAUCGAAGCCCUAGAUCCUAGGCAUGAGGUGCGUCAUAACCAAUGCUUCUGCUAUUUCAAACACCGUAUACAUAGCAUUACCAAUGUUUUAACAAAAACAUAGCAUCCAUAAACAUGUACUCUUUGCACACUUCCAAGCAGGAUCCACUCUAUUAAUUCCACUUUCAAUACCAUCCUACGGAAAAAAAACGAGCAGUGGAGGAGCUAAAAAAAAAAAGAUUUUGUGGCUGAAGAAAAAAACAGAUUUGGUAAAGAAGGGAAACUUCUCUGCUCGAAUAGCCACGAGGACAGUUGAGGCAAGUCAAUUUGAUUUAGAUUACCAGCAGAGACAUACAAUAGAGGGCCACAUCUUGGCAGAUUUUGUGGCUGAGUUCUCGCCAUUGGUGGCUCCACCAUCGCCUGAACUGGAUGAGCAGUUGGCUCCACCAGCUGACCAAGAAAUUGCAGCCCGAGAUGAGGAAACGGGGAGAUUUUAUGCUGAUGGUUCAGCAAGCAGCAAAGGAUCAGGUGCAGGGGUCAUACUUUUUCCCCCCCUAAGGCCACAUGCUGGAACAAGCAAUUCGGCUUGUUUUCAGUGCCUCUAACAAUGUGGCGGAAUACGAGGCAGUACUAGCUAACACUGCUCGAUGGACCCAAUCUUGAGUUACUUUAAGGGAUGGAACGCUUCCUAAUAACAAACAGAAACACAAGAUUAAAACAGAGGUUGUUUGAUUCUGGAUCUCUACCAGGGAGAAGCUUUGCCGAAAGUCCUUUACUGGGCCUUAUCUAUUUUUUGUUCAUCCGAGUUUGGUGCAGAAACUUUUUAACGAGAUACGUGAAGAAUCUUGAAGAAGUUAUUCCAGAGGAAGACCAAUUGCUCAUAGGCAAUAUUACGAGGAUACUGCUGGCCCUACAUGGAGGAAGAAGCAAAAGUGUUUGUCAACUUGUGCGAGCGGUUUCAGAGGUACUCGCCGAUCAUCGAACACCAGCACAAGACUUAAUGCCUCCCCCUAGUCCAUGGCCAUUUGCUCAGUGGGGCUAGGACAUUGCGGGACCCUUAACACCAGCAACCGGGAAAAAGCAAGUUUCUGCUGGUCGGCAUAGAUUACUUCACGAAGUAGAUUAAGGCAGAACCAAUUUCCAAGAUUACAGAAGCUAUGGAGGAGAAGUUCAUCUGGGACAUCAUCACAAGGUUUAGCAUCCCAUUUUCCAUCGUUCUGAUAAUGGUUCCCAAGACAAGUUCAAGGAUUUCUGCAGCAAGUACAAGAUCAGAAACUAUUAUUCAAGCCUGACCUAACCAAAAAGCAAUGGGCAGGCAGAAGCUUCGAACAAGAAGAUCUUGGAAAGAAUCUAAAAGAGGCUUGCUCGAAAGAAGGGGAAGUGGCUAGAUGAGUUGUUAAUUGUUCUCUGGUUUUCCGGAACAACCCCAAGAAGAUCAAACGGGGAGACUCCAUAUUCCCUUGCUUGUGGAACGAAAGCAAUAAUCCCCCUGGAGGUCGGCAAGUCUACUAACAAGACAACACUAGCAGAAAGUGGAGGCAAUGAUGAUGCUCAAAAAUAGUUAGAUCUUGCCGAAGAAAAAAGGGAAAAGUCUCUGCUAAAACUUGCAGCAUACCAGGAUCAACUCACAAAGGCCCACCCGAGGGAGUCCAGCAUUAGUGGUGAGAAAGGUGCUCGCCAACAUGAGAACCCAAUAGAUGGGAUGCUCGGGCCCAACAAAGAGUGUUCUUAUAAGGGUGUUAGGCAUACUGCCUAGUAGACCUUGAUGGAAACCAGUCCCAAGGCCAUGGAAUAUUCACAACCUCAGGAAAUUUUUUCGGCAAUUUUAUAGUUUUUCAAAAGCAUUUUUUAGCUUUGGUAUUUAAUGUAGUUAGUAGUUUAAACAAAGCAGUCUAUCCUUUGUUCGGAUGUUUAGUUUUUGAAACUUAUGAUGAUUUUAGCACUCCCCAAAUUUUUUAGUAUAAAAAU